GGAGACAGGAGGCUGACUGCCUGGCAGGAGGAAUGGUUUUCAUGGGAACAGCAUUGAAAGCCUGGCGCUGGGCGAGGACCCUUGCCAGCAGCCUCGUUUGCUGCUGGCCCUCUAGUUUGGCUGCGUACAAGUUGUUUAUACUUCAGAUGCGCUAAUGAACAGCCCCUCUCACGGAGCGGGUCCUUGGAAUAGUUUCAUCCCAGCAUGUGCCCACUCAGUCAGAGAAUCAGUAGAGAGCUGCUGUGCUCUCUGCAUGCCUGCUAAGCUAAUUCACCAAUUGUGCAGUCCUGGUUUUCUAUACCUCCUGGGGGAAGGCUUUCAUCAAGCCCAGGUCUUUCUGGAUUGAGCAAUUGGACAAAUGGGUGGGGUCUUGAUUGUGACACUGGAGCUGGAAUGAGGAAAACAUCAGGCAAAGCCUUGUGUCUCAGGGAAGCCACAUUCUAGAAAGCAUCUCUAGGUACGGAUAAACAAACAUGCAGUAGGCGAGAUGCUGAUUAGUAUCUGCUGAAACUUAGAUACCCUGCGGGACCGCAUCGAACUUGUGCUUUUGAAAAGCCAAACUCCUCCCUUUCCUUUGCCUGGUGCCAUGCUGUGAGUAGUGUGUUGAUGGAGUUCACUGAGAGUGUAUCUGGGACAUCACUUCUAAAGAAGACCUCAGAAUGGUGUGUUGAGAGGAGGAAGCCAAGGAGUGCAGGAAGAAAAAGGAAGGAUUUGACAGAAGGAAAGCUAGGAAGAAGGCCAAUACAGAAGGGAUCGAAUGAGGAAGGGAGUGUGGUGUGAACUGAGUCUCCAUUUGAGUAAGGCAGGGCCAGAGUAAGCCAAUGGGGUUUCGUUCUGACUUAGAAGUUCAUGGAGGUGUGUUUGUUAAGCAGAAGGGAGAGAGGCACCGUGGCCUGAGUGCCACCAUUCUGCUGUGCUGUACUACAGAACAACAGAGGGGAUAAAAAUGCUGGCCAGGAGAUCCUGCAGUAGAGAGGUCCAGAGAGAGAAGGUGAUGGGUUGGCCUAAAGUGGUAUUGGAGAUGGGAAGUCAUGUUGGAAUUGAAACACAUUCUUGUGUUUAAUACCACUUGUGUAUGUGCCUAACAACAAGCAAGCAGUCAACUCCAGAUGGGUGUCUCAACAUUUCACCUUAUUUCUUUCUCUUUAAAAUUUUUUUUGAGUAUUGCAUUUAAAUAACUUUCCCUUUCUUUCCUUCAACUUCUCCUGUUUUCUCCUUACCUCUGAAAAUACACCCACACCCACUCACAGACACACAGGCACACACGGAGACAUGCACACUACCUGCUGAGCCCUUUUAGUGUUCCUUAUAUAUAUGUGGUCUUAGGUAUUGAUUGUCGCUCUUGAGCUAACCAAGGAGUAGUUUCUCUAGUUGGCCUCUGUACUUACAAACACUGUGAUGACAUCUCCAGAUGACGCCUUCACUGGAAUGCAUUUUCUUCCCUCCAGCACAUACCCUUGCAUCUGGCGACUAACCGUAAGUAUAAGAACCUUUCUCCUUAUAUGUAGUUGUGACUCCAGCCACACUGGAGAGGGGCAAGGCCAUGAACGGACUGAUGGUUUGACCUUUGAAAUGUCACUCUUCUUAAGCUCUCGAGCUGUGGGGUGGAAAUGGGGAACAGGCCACACCAAGUGUUUUCCAGCCUGACCACUGGAAUUCACUCCCACCAAGGGGAAGAAGCUAUGUGUGUUUUACUUUAUACAGGGCUGAGAGAAGGGAACACAAGCAAAUAGCACAGGAUGCCAUCUGUCUGGGGGCGUGGAUCAGUGCGUAGAAUUCAUGCUGAGGUAUGCAUACUACAGGUGACAGGUAAGGACUUCCCAAGGUGUGGAUAGAUGGACAAUUUUGGUGAAUGAAGUCUCUAAAUACGCAAUUUCCAUGCGGCUCUUACUUGGAUAAUGAGCCACAGUGGGGUUCAAUCACUUUCUUUCCCAUGACUUUUUUCAAAGUCCUGUUUGUAUAGCUUUAUAUGCAAUGGCAUGCCUCCCCCCAUAUGUCAAUUCUCAUGAUAUGUCCUUAUUUUGACAAAUAAACCUCAAGAAGACUAAAACCUGAACAGCUCAAAGCGCUAGAAACUGGUAUGUACUCUUCAUCCAGACAUUGAAAGUUUCCCUUUCCAGUUUGUGAACAGAUGAGUUUUUUAAAAAUGUUUUACAUUUUAUUGGUUAUUAAUUAUAAAAAUGUUUUACAUAGUUGCUAUGGUUACCUUUCCCUGGCUUUUACAAGACAGGCUUUGCCAACAAUCAGGGUCAGAGGGCCCUACGUUCCUCAGCUGAGCUAUUGGCUACUGACAGAUUCUGGGUGUGGGGGAGUCAUGGUUUUCAGUUGUGUAUACAUUAGUGACUCUACAAGCUUUAGUGGGUAGGUUUGUGGUCACACGGAUAGUCAUGGUUAAAUCCAAAAGGUUACCAAACCGAAAAAAUGUGAAUGUGGGAAAGGCAUUUGUAGGGAAGAGUGGGCACUGGCCAGAGGGAGAUGAGAGGGUGUGUGUGUGUGUGUGUGUGUGUGUGUGUGUGUGUGUGUGUUAGAGGGUAAUCAGGAUGUAGCACAGCUAAUGCACAAAAAAACACCAAAGAACAAGUUUAAUUUUUUUUUUUGAGACAGGGUUUCUCUGUGUAACCCUGGUUGUCCUGGAACUCACUUUGUCGACCAGGCUGACCUCGAACUCAGAAAUCUGCCUGCCUCUGCCUCCCAAGUGCUGGGAUUAAAGGCGUGCGCCACCACACUGGCUAAGAACAAGUUUAAUUAAUAUAGGAUGCUAUUAAAUGCAGGUUUGUUAUUUUAAUGAAAUUCAAAAUAAUAAUAUUUCUAACUCCUAAGAUGCUUGUACCAUUCAAAUACUCAUUUUAGUAUAAUGUAUUCAAACCACAUUGAGUGAGUUAAGUAUACAAGUGAGUUAGAACUAUGUAAACUUGAAAGAACCUGUUGUGGUCCACAUGUUACAGUGGGGUGGUCAGCAGGACACACCUACACAUGAAGUGAUGCUGUUUUCUGGUCAAUCUUGUGAGGGAAUGAGAUACAAAUAUGAUAUCCAGAGGAAAGGGAGAAUACAAAAUGUCUCACUUAUAAAUAAGAAGCUCACUCAUGAACUUGAAACAUGACUGAUGAUAAGCAUCCAGUCGCUCUGAUAUUCAAAUCAGGUUGUUUCAAAAUAUCAGCAUUCGAACACAUGGCAACAGUAAUAAAACAUCCAGAAACCACUUUAAAACUGUGUUCUGUCAUUGAAGUUGGAAGGGCUAAACCCUUGUUAAGGCCUUGCUGUGUGUGAACUCUCCCUUCCGCUAGUGCUGCCUGCCCAGCUUGGUUGUAAGCUUAUUGGAGUGUUUAAAACUCCUAUCCUGAAAAGCUGAAAGAGAAAAUGAAAACUAGUCCAUGAGAGGUCUAGAGAGUCACAGAGAGAGGGUGGGUCAACGUCCCGAGGAGGAGGAAAGGGACAGAUGCUUCACUCAGGAGACAGGUCAACUGACAGGAAGAGGCAGCAAUUUCCCUGUUUCUGUGGGGAGUAAAGUCAUUGUCCUGGGGCAGACACGUGACAGCAUGACACAGUACUGUACACAGCAAGACCAAUUACUUCAAUCAUUUGCUGAAGGAAGAAGUAACAUUUUUUUUUUAAACUUUGACAUGCUAAGACAGACUGCUUCCUUUUGGAAGAAAGAGAAACUACAAACCAAAGUCUACUAAAAACUGAUGGAAUAUUUCAGAAGUUCUUUCUCUGUGACAAUUCUUAAAAACCAAUAUCUAUUUUUAUUAUUAUAAUAUUUAGAUACGUACAAUGGAUUGCUGAUAGUCACUCUUCAGGCACCCCUCCACCUCCUCUGAAGAAGGCCCAUGGAUCCUCUGGCAGGUUCCAAGGCAACACCACACUUCUCUACAAUUUCUGACUUUUCCAAAGGACUUAUUUGUGUAUUUUAAAAUGAGUUGAUUGACUGGAUCAAAUUAUUUUGAUAUUUAAUUAUUAAUCUUAUUUGUAACAGCUUAACUUUUGAAACAUGACCUUACAAUUCCCAUAUCCUCUUUUUAUGUCGUUUUCUACCUUUUCCUUCUGGGCUAUUUUUAUGCUGAAGAUUUUUGCAAAAGAUCAUUAGGGGAAUAAAAUAGGCAAUAAUAUGGCUCAUUUACUUAUUCGGAGGCCAAUACAGGAAAACUUUCCCCUAGAUCUUGGCUAAGCUAUUUAUCAGAGUUCGUUUUUUUAUACCAAGCAGGUUUUAUUUGCAUACUUAAGAAUAUUAUACUCAUAUGUGCGUAUAAACAAUGAAUGAAAAAGAAGCCAUGAAUGUGAGAGAGAGUGAGGAUGGGUGUAUGCAGGGCGGGGAUGGGGUGCAGAGGUGUAUGGAGGGGGGAAGGGAAGUGAGGAGUGAUGGAAUACUGCAGUCUCAAAAAAAAAAAGAAAAGAAAUAAUUUUCAAUCUAGAGUUUGUUAUUUUUGAUUGGGCAUUUAUGUGUCUAUAUGAAUUUAAGUACGAUGUGUUUGAUCUGUUGUGCUGUUUCUCUCUCUCUCCUCUCCACGUUCAUUGUGCUAACGGGCACCUUAUUGUAUUUAAUAUGAGUGAAAACAGAUGAACUGAACCACUGGUGUUUCAGGCAAGCAAUAGGCUUUGACCUAAAUUAGGACAGGGCUCCCCUAUCAUCUGGAAGCUAUGUUCUAGCUCUGCCUCUCUAAAGAAGGGAGCCUAGUCUAGGUGUGCUAGCCUUAAAAGGGAUUUCGUUCUCAGAGGGGCAUGGUCCUGUUUUGUAACCUGGGACAAAGAUACUGUGGCUCUCUCUUGUGGGCUUCCCCCACGUUUGUGUUGUUCUCGGCUUGGGAAUAAAUCUAAUUCUCUCCCUCCCACUCUCUUUCCUAUUCUAGUCUCAAGAGAACAUGGAGGUGUGUAUCAAAAGCCACAGGUUCCCCACUGCAGGAAAUGUGAUUUACUUUAUUUUUCGAUACUGCAAUUUAGUUCCCAUAACAAGCCUCCCAACCUUCAUUCAAGUUAGUUUAGUAAUCCUCCUUUAUGCUUUCAUAGGAAGUCCAGCAAUUUCUCAUGAAGUUUGACGCGCUGUCUCUGCCUAGUGCGGAUGGGAGCAGUGACUGUGUGUCCCCCGCUGUCCUUCUCAUCACAUCACGACACCUGCUGAGGAUGCUUCAGUUUGACUCCUUGCGGGUCAUCGGUUUCUUCAGACUGAGUUUCUUCUGGGUCUGCUGGCUGUCCAUCCACAUCACCUACAAGCACGGUCUGCAGAGACACAGCCUGUGCCUCCAGCAGGCAUCCAAGGCCCCGCUGCUGACCAUACUACCCUUCUGCUUCUCCCUCACGCCUAAGGCUCCUGUGAAUCCAGUGUGGAUAACUGUACACUCUGAGACUUUGGGGGGAACUCAAGAGGAGCAUCGAUGCGCUCUGGGUUCUCUUUGGGUAGAUAGGCUGUCAGGAAUUUCUUGAGCACACACCAUCUUCAGGUCCAUCUGCCUCAUCCAAAUCUUUCUCCCUACCUUGCCUUUGUGGCUCUCAAGCUGAAGAAGGCUAUUUGAGCCUAGGAUCCCCCUUUCCCCUCUCUUCUGAUUUGGUUUCCAGAGCCUUUUUACUGUGCUUGAACAUUCGCAUUCUUUACUUACGCGUUGAUUUCUCUGCCUUCAUGGAAUCUCGGUGAAGAUGAAGACACCGUCUGCUUUGAUCAUUGCUUUAUGUCUGACACGUAGAACAGCAUCUCGCACAGGGAGGAGGCUCAGAAAACAUUUGUCAGAAGAAGAAUGAAUAAAUAAAUGAGUAAACUUAUGUGGGGUACUUCGACUUACUGUAUCUAGUAAGCAGAAAUACCUUAAGUACAGGGAAGGAUUGUGGUGCCACAGAUUUCCCCCCACCCCCCACCUGUGGACAAUUUCUUACAGUUUCAUUAUCAAUAGACAUAUAGUAGAUUUAUGUGUUUGCUAUGAGAGUGGAACUGGAAUGGACAUAAAGGCAGAACUGCCUCUGCUUCCUCUCUUCUUGGCUGAUCAGUUCCAUUUCCUGACACACGUGUUUGAAGGAACCUGGUGGGCCUCGGAUUGUGUACAAUUGUGUAUCUUUGGAAAAGUCAGAGCUCUCUUGCUCUUGGCCAUGCUCAUGAUUUCUAGCUGGAAUCAAGGAAAAGUCAUUGCUUACAUUCUUCUCGGAAACCCUUGGUACAGUUGCUUGAAAAAGCCUGGAGGAAUGCAAUAAAAUAUAAAGAUGGAGACGCUGGUGGGAAAUGGACCUGAAGUUUCCUGGGUGUUUGUUUCCAUUCACGAGUAUAAGCAGAGAGAUUUAUAAUUCCAGAAAUCACAUUUUCCCCCUAAGCUGCUUUUUAUCUUCUUCUUCUAAAUGUUACUGCAGCUCACGUGCUUCUUCAAAAUCAGAAGUGAGGAUUAAAGAAGAUCAUGAACCAGCUUCUGACUUGAACAUUUUGAGAGGGCAGCUGCUAUGAUGAAGAGGCCAGGGUGGCAAGGAACUGAAAGUGACUUCUAACCAAGGAAAUCAUUUGGCAAGGAUCAGAGCUCUUAAGUUCAACUCCUGUGAAGAAGUGGAUUCUGUGUUGAUAGAAGAGCUUAGAAUAAGGGUCUUCCUCAGUUUAGUGGUAAGCCUUCUGCAGCCCAGUGCAAACCUUCAUUGCAGUCUAUGAGAAAUCCUUAGAUCAAAAGAUACAAUGAACCAUAGGGCAUCCCUGCCC
rnacentral:lncRNA from 1 species